GAAGAACCAGGAGGCUUCCAGGGCCUCACCUUCCUUGAGACUGUGGGGUCAGGGUGCAUGGGGGAGAGGAGGAGGAACUGUUGUGAGCUGAGCUGAUACCCCAAAACAUGAAGGAAAUGGAGUCCAGAGAGGUCAUCUGACUUGCCAAAGGACACACAGCUACUGAGCAGUAUCCAGGCUUCUGACCCUGGGUGCACAAGACAGCAAAUGUUUUGGUAUCAUCCUCUCAAAGAAAGGCACCCUUGGCCACCGGAAAUAAGCAAAACUUCAGUUGCCUGCAAAUCAAAGGAAUUUGCAGUCUUUCCCAGGAGCUUCUUUCCAAGCGAACCAAUCAUCUACAACGUGAGGCUAAAUCUUUUAUAACACUGACUUCCUGGUCAAAGUAUAUCUUUUUUUGUAAAGUUUCCUACAACAUAUAAUUGGUGCAGUCGCCAGCCUCUGAGAUGAACCCCAGCCGCCUGGUAUUCUCAUCCUUGUGUAAUCCCCUCCCCAUCCUAUCAGGAUUGGUCUGUAUGGCCAAUAGAUUACACAGGAAGUGAUAGGAUGUCACUUCCCAGAUUAGGUUUUCAAGAGCCCUGCAGCAACCACAGAGCUCAGGCAUCCCAAAGUUUCUGCCACCUUUUUGAACUGAAGACAUUCCCUGAGAUUCCCUGAAUGGCCUGUCUUUAGCAGAUGAAUACAGAAAAUAACUGACCCUAUCAAUGGAGCAAGUGCCCUAAAAUUCCUGGAUUAUUCCAAGGCAGAAGGAUCCUGGAGAUGGAGAUGGACUGACCUUUCUUCUGCUCUGGUUGCAGAUGGUUUUAUAAUUCUAAAUAAUAUCAGUGUCAAGGAAGCAAGAUAGCAGAAUAAUUGUGCCCGCUAACUGCUACACUCCCAAGCUCUGUGACUGGUAAAUUA